GACGAACGCUGGCGGCGUGCUUAACACAUGCAAGUCGAACGAAGAACCCGGAGCUUGCUCCGGUGGAUUAGUGGCGAACGGGUGAGUAACACGUGAGUAACCUGCCCUUGACUCAGGGAUAACUGCGGGAAACUGUAGCUAAUACCGGAGACGACACUCGGCGGUAUCGCCAGGGGGUGGAAAGAAAUUCGGUCAAGAGAUGGACUCGGGGCCUAUCAGCGAGGUGGUGAGUUAACGGCUCACCAAGGCGACGGCGUGUAGCCGGCCUGAGAGGGUGACAGGCGACGCUGAGAACGGGACACGGCCCAGCCUCCUACGGGAGGCAGCAGUGGGGAAUAUUGCACAAUGGGCGCAAGCCUGAUGCAGCGACGCCGCGUGAGGGAUGACGGGCUUCGGGGAGUAAACAUCUUUUAGUAGGGAAGAAGCGAAAGUGACGGUACCUGCAGACAAAGCACCGGCUAACUACGUGCCAGCCGCCGCGGUAA
rnacentral:rRNA from 1 species